rfam:Anabaena sp. 90 chromosome chANA01, complete sequence.
GUCAGUAACCCAGCCCUAAAGGGACUGGGCUUGCAAGAGUAAUCAAGCAAGCCGUACUGACCAGACCACCCUGAGUUUACUCUCAUGGUAGCCGUUGUUUGAGUCACGACACCCCGGAAUGCGAAGCUAGUUCCCUGCUCUGUCGCUUGUGAUUAAACAGUUCUAAGGUCACUGGAACAGUGUUGCAAGCUCAAGCAAGCUCUUAUAACAGGUCGAAGCUAACAUUAC